rnacentral:lncRNA from 1 species
UGGCCGUAUACGUUAACCGGGAUAUUUUUUACCCCAAGAUGGUACUCUGAAUAAAAUCUUCUGCGGCUCCUGAUUGGAUGAUACAAAGUUGGAAUUGCUCCAAUAAAAUUUAAGCAGCGAUCGAUCAUCCAUGUAAUACACAAUCUUGAACAGGUGAGUCCGGACUGUGACCUGACAUGACCCCGGACUAGCCUGAAGUUUACUAUACCUGCGUGUAUUGCAUUACGACGACUAACUGUAUGUAAACUGUUUAUUGUCGUAAAGUAUAUUGACGGGACAUUUGAUCAAGCAUGUAAUACAUAAGAAAUUUAUAAGAUAUUUAUCCGACAUUUAACGAAAAAUAUAAUUGUAAUAGGCGAGUCCGGAUGGUGACCUGAAGUAACCCCGGACUAGGUGUAUUCGCAAACUAAAGACAUCGAUAGAGAUAUAAAACUUCACACAUUAUUUGACGAGACGAACUUAUUCAUUUUUAUUCAUUCAACUUUUUCCUUAUUGUAUUGUCGUCGGAAACAUUAAUAAAAGACGUUCACCGAGAAUCAACAAAUUAAUAUUAGGCGAGUCCGGACUGUGACCUGAUAUAACCCCGGACCAGGAGUAUACGGAUUGUAUAUAAAUAAACUAAAUUAUUUGUUUAAUUGAAAGAUUUUUUUCCCCUUUUUGCUUUUUACUUUUCCUUUAUUUAUUUCUCUAUUUCGUAAGUUAUUCGAAUGUCAUCGGAAAAUUCAAUAAACGAAACUUAAGCGGCGUUCAACAAUGUAAUACACUAUCUUGAACAGGUGAGUCCGGACUGUGACCUGACAUGACCCCGGACUAGCUUGAAGUUUACUAUACCUGCGUGUAUUGCAUUACGACGACUAACUGUAUGUAAACUGUUUAUUGUCGUAAAGUAUAUUGACGGGACAUUUGAUCAAGCAUGUAAUACAUAAGAAAUUUAUAAGAUAUUUAUCCGACAUUUAACGAAAAAUAUAAUUGUAAUAGGCGAGUCCGGAUGGUGACCUGAAGUAACCCCGGACUAGGUGUAUUCGCAAACUAUAGACAUCGAUAGAGAUAUAAAAACUUCACAAAUUAUUUGAUGAGACGAACUUAUUCAUUUUUAUUCAUUCAACUUUUUCCUUAUUGUAUUGUCGUCGGAAACAUUAAUAAAAGACGUUUACCUUAGAAUCAACAAAUUAAUAUUAGGCGAGUCCGGACUGUGACCUGAUAUAACCCCGGACCAGGAGUAUACGGAUUGUAUAUAAAUAUACUAAAUUAUUUGUUUAAUUGAAAGAUUUUUUUUCCCUUUUUGCUUUUUACUUUUCCUUUAUACAUUUCUCUAUUUCUUUAGUUAUUCGAUUGUCAUCGGAAAAAUCAACAAACGACACUUAAGGGCGUUCAACAAUGUAAUACACAUUCUUGAACAGGUGAGUCCGGACUGUGAUCUGACAUGACCCCGGACUAGCUUGAAGUUUACUAUACCUGCGUGUAUUGCAUUACGACGACUAACUGUAUGUAAACUGUUAUUGUCGUAAAGUAUAUUGACGGGACAUUUGAUCAAGCAUGUAAUACAUAAGAAAGUUAUAAAAUAUUUAUCCGACAUUUAACGAAAAAAUGAAAUGUAAUAGGCGAGUCCGGAUGGUGACCUGAAGUAACCCCGGACUAGGUGUAUUCGCAAAAUAUAGACAUCGAUAGAGAUAUAAAACUUCACACAUUAUUUGAUGAGACGAACUUAUUCAUUUUUAUUCAUUCAACUUUUUCCUUAUCAAAUUGUCAUCGAAAAAAUUAACAAAAGACUUUUAUCCGAGAAGCAACGAAAUAAUACUAGGCGAGUCCGGACCGUGACCUGAAAUAACCCCGGACUGGGAGUAUACGAGUUAUAUAUACAUAUACUGUAUUAAGUGUUUAAUUGAAAGAUUGUAUUUCCAUUUUUCAUUUUUCUUUUUUCUUCAUUUAUUUCUCUAUUUCUGUAGUUAUUUGACUAUGAUCGACAUGAUCAAUAAAAGACACUAAAGCAGCAAUCAACCAAUGUAAUACACAUUCUUGAACAGGUGAGUCCGGACUGUGACCUGACAUGACCCCGGACUAGCUUGAAGUUUACUAUACCUGCGUGUAUUGCAUUACGACGACUAACUGUAUGUAAACUGUUUAUUGUCGUAAAGUAUAUUGACGGGACAUUUGAUCAAGCAUGUAAUACA